ACCUGCACUAACAGCCUGAGAGAAAAGGACACUGCAUAUCACAGAGAGAUGCAUAGAUGUUACACUCAGAAAGAGAGUGAACAACUAGAAGAUGUGGAAGAACCAGUUUGGCUCUGGAGUCAAGAAUUCUCAAAACAGCUUUCUGAACCUGAAUCGCACGCAGUAAAGCUGGUGUUCUCCUGAAGCCAACAUUUAUGGUAUCACCUUGCUGAUCCAGGCAAAAUGGCAAAAGUGUAGUGAACAUAAAGCCAGGGGCUGAGAUUGUGGAUGUCCUCUGUACCAAGUUUCUUAUUAUGGUAAGGGUAGAAGUUCACCAGGUCAGUAAUGUGAUUUUGUCCAAAGAGCCAUUUCUGGAGAUCUAGCCUAAACAUUGCUCCUCCAACUCUUCCCAUAAUUUGUUAACAAUUGAAUAAUUGUUCUGUUUAAAAUAGUUUGGAUGUUUUAUGUUUUCUGCAACUUUACUGUUAUCAUAACAAAGACAUAAAUAAAGAUCUAAAUAAAGUCA
rnacentral:lncRNA from 1 species